UACAGAGGGUGCGAGCGUUUAAUCGGAAUUACUGGGCGUAAAGCGCGCGUAGACGGUUUUGUAAGUCAGAUGUGAAAUCCCUGGGCUCAACCUGGGAACUGCAUUUGAAACUGCAUGGCUAGAGUAUGGAAGAGGGAAGUGGAAUUUCCGGUGUAGCGGUGAAAUGCGUAGAUAUCGGAAGGAACACCAGUGGCGAAAGCGACUUCCUGGUCCAAUACUGACGUUUCAUGUGCGAAAGCGUGGGGAGCAAACAGG
rnacentral:rRNA from 1 species